AUGGGAAUUUCCGAGCGCCCGAACCCCCAAACCGGGCAGGAGCCCCCGAGGGAGCGGCAGCGAGCUGCUGGCUGUCCCUGCACUGCCCUCAGCCACAGCCCUGGGGACAAAAGUCCUGCUGUGCCCUGCAAAUGCGGGUUUGGGGAGAGCCCUGCCAGGGGCCCAGCGCUGCCACCCCGGGCAGGACCUCCAGGCGGGCAGGGGACAUCGGGACAGAGCCUUUCACUCCGAUGUCCCCACCUGGGAGGCCCCAAAGGGACGUGGGGCCCAGCCUGGCUGCCCCCAUCCCCACCCGGCGUCCAGCGCUCACAUCCCCCCGCAGCAACGAGCCCGAACCCCCAUUCCCAUCCCUCCGAGGAGCCCUCGGAGAGCAAAACUCACCCCGCACCCCCGCAGGCAGCCGGGUGCUCCCCAAAUCCCAGCGGGACGCGCAGACCCCUUCCCCCGGCUCUCACCUGUCGGCAGCGGGGUGAGGACCGGCCGCUCUCAGAGUCCCAUGUCCAGGUGGGGCCGUGCCCGUCACCUCCUCCCCAUCCCCCCGGGACCCUGCGGGGCACGGACAGGAGCCCCCCGAGCGCGGGUGGGACCCUGCGGGGCACGGAGAGGAGCCCCCCGAGCCCGGCUGCGCUGCCGCCGCCGCCGCCGCCGCCCGCUGCCGCUCCCCGCCUUGCCCCGGCUUCCUGCCUCAUGAGCAAACUCAAGAGGAGCUGGUUCGCAGCUCUCGCACGACCGCAAAGAGCGAGUGACAAACCCCGACGGCUUCCUGCCAUCCCCGGCCCCGCGGGGGUGGCCGAGGGGAUGCUGAGACCCUCAGGGUCGCGGGAGGGGCCGGCGACAAGCAGGGGGGUGGUCGUCACCUGCUGCCCGCGCCCCUCUGUCGCCGGUGCUGUCCCCUCUCCUGUCUCCCUCAGUGCCCUGCCAGCCCCUCCACCAGCUGUGGGGCACAUCCCGCACCCCGCAGCCCCCGAUUUGGCUGGCACCGCUCUGGCACCGCGGUGCCACUGCAGAGUUUGGCACCUUGAGAGGUGCAGUGAUGAGGAGCGGAGCUGA
rnacentral:lncRNA from 1 species